UGGAUCUUAGUGGCGAACGGGUGAGUAACGCGUAGGCAAUCUGCCUUCUAGAUGGGGACAACAUCCCGAAAGGGGUGCUAAUACCGAAUGUUGUAAUUGGUUCGCAUGGACUAGCUACUAAAGGUGGCCUCUGAAUAUGCUACCGCUAGAAGAUGAGCCUGCGUCUGAUUAGCUAGUUGGAGGGGUAACGGCCCACCAAGGCUUCGAUCAGUAGCCGGUCUGAGAGGAUGAACGGCCACACUGGGACUGAGACACGGCCCAGACUCCUACGGGAGGCAGCAGUGGGGAAUAUUGCGCAAUGGGGGCAACCCUGACGCAGCAAUACCGCGUGAGUGAAGAAGGUUUUCGGAUCGUAAAGCUCUGUUAUUGGGGAAGAAAAAAGACGGUACCCAAGAAGAAAGUCCCGGCUAACUACGUGCCAGCAGCCGCGGUAAUACGUAGGGGACAAGCGUUGUCCGGAUUUACU
rnacentral:rRNA from 1 species